rnacentral:rRNA from 1 species
AGGACGAACGCUGGCGGCGUGCUUAACACAUGCAAGUCGAGCGGAAAGGCCCUUCGGGGGUACUCGAGCGGCGAACGGGUGAGUAACACGUGAGUAAUCUGCCCCAUCGCUUCAGGAUAGCCAUCGGGAACGGUGAUUAAUACUGGAUAUGACAUUCCUUCGCAUGGUUGGGUGUAGGUUAAGUUUUCGGCGGU